rnacentral:rRNA from 1 species
AUUGAACGCUGGCGGCAGGCUUAACACAUGCAAGUCGAACGGAACCUUCGGGUUUAGUGGCGAACGGGUGAGUAACACCUAGGAAUCUGCCUAUUAGUGGGGGAUAACGUAGCGAAAGUUACGCUAAUACCGCAUAUUCUGUGAGCAGGAAAGCAGGGGAUCGCAAGACCUUGCGCUGACUGAGCGGCCGAUAUCAGAUUAGCUAGUUGGUGAGGUAAAGGCUCACCAAGGCGACGAUCUGUAGCGGGUCUGAGAGGAUGAUCCGCCACACUGGAACUGAGACACGGUCCAGACUCCUACGGGAGGCAGCAGUGGGGAAUUUUGGACAAUGGGCGCAAGCCUGAUCCAGCCAUGCCGCGUGAGUGAAGAAGGCCUCGGUU